AUGAACGCUGGCGGCGUGCCUAAUACAUGCAAGUCGAGCGAACGGACGAGAAGCUUGCUUCUCUGGUGUUAGCGGCGGACGGGUGAGUAACACGUGGAUAACCUACCUAUAAGACUGGGAUAACUUCGGGAAACCGGAGCUAAUACCGGAUAAUAUUUUGAACCGCAUGGUUCAAAAGUGAAAGACGGUCUUGCUGUCACUUAUAGAUGGAUCCGCGCUGCAUUAGCUAGUUGGUAAGGUAACGGCUUACCAAGGCAACGAUGCAUAGCCGACCUGAGAGGGUGAUCGGCCACACUGGAACUGAGACACGGUCCGGACUCCUACGGGAGGCAGCAGUAGGGAAUCUUCCGCAAUGGGCGAAAGCCUGACGGAGCAACGCCGCGUGAGUGAUGAAGGUCUUCGGAUCGUAAAACUCUGUUAUUAGGGAAGAACAUAUGUGUAAGUAACUGUGCACAUCUUGACGGUACCUAAUCAGAAAGCCACGGCUAACUACGUG
rnacentral:rRNA from 1 species